UUGCUUUGGCGGCAUGUAUACUAAAAUAGGGAUGAUACCAAGUAGAUUAGCAUGGCCUUUUUUUGCAAGGAAGACAUUCAAAUUUCUAAACUGUUCCAUAUUUUU
rnacentral:snRNA from 1 species